rnacentral:rRNA from 1 species
AGUUAACGCUGGCGGUGGUCCUAACACAUGCAAGUCGAACGGCAUCACAGUAAUAGCUUUCUCUUACGGGUUGCGAUUGGCUGACGGGUGAGGUAUACAUCGGAAUCUACUUUUUCGUGGGUUAUAACGUAGUGAAACUUACGCUAAUACCGCAUACGUCCUCCGGGUGAAAUCAGUGGAUCUUCGGAUCUUGCUCGAUUUAAUUAGCCUAUUUCGGAUUAGCUAGUUGUCGGGGUAAAGCCCCACCAAGGCGACGAUCCGUAGCUGGUCUGAGAGGAUGAUCAGCCACACUGGAACUGAGACAAGGUCCAGAAUCCUACGGGAGGCAGCAGUGGGGAAUAUUGGACAAUGGGCGCAAGAAUGAUCCAGCCAUACCGCGUGGGUGAAGAAGGCCUUCGGGUUGUAAAGCCAUUUUGUUGGGAAAGAAAAGCAGCAGGUUAAUACCAAGCUGUUCUGACGGUACCCAAAGAAUAAGCACAGGCUAACUUCGUG